ACUUUUCUAGCAAGUUCUUUUCUGCUGAACAGGGGUCCAGGCUGGCUUUUUUUUGCCUUACCCCAGUUGUGAGCUGGCAAACAUCUCCCAGAAGAUAAAUCUAAGCGGUCCUUGUGCACUUACAGAUACAUCAUAUUAAUUUUGCUUUGGAGUGGAAGUGGCAGACAGAAGAAAAAAAGAAAGCUUAUCUCAGUAAAACCUUCAAUGGUAUUAGCAUAUUUGUCUUCUUAUACAUCAACAUUCAAGAUUAAAGCCUGAGCUUUUAACUUCAGUAAGUCUUGUAGGCUUGAGAGAGGAUGUGUUGUUGAAUGCCUGGAUCUGAGAGAACAAGUAUUACAUCCUCACUCAGGAAUGGAAUUUGAACUCAUUUUCAACUCGCUGUUUUGUAGAAAAUUAAAGCCAAGAUUCUCAGAUGCUUUUCUGACACAGGCUACUCCAAUAAGAACCAGAAUGAAGCUAUUGUGGUAACCCAGCUUUGAGCUCUCCUGGUAAUGUUCAUGAAGCCUGAAACCUCUUCAGAGAUGAAAGAUCCUCUUCUCUGAUACCUAGUCCACACAUUUGCUUCAGAGACUCAGUUUUUCCAUUCAGAUGGGAUGUGCUCCACAUGCUGAGAAGUCGAAUAAUUUUAUUCAGCUGGAAAAGAGACCCAGAAAGAGCAAAGUGUCUCCUCCCAUGGCUCAUCCCUCACAUGGUGCCCCACACCCCACUCAGCAAAGGGUAGAUUGCUCAACUGGUGCCAUGCAAUGGGAGUGCAACAAUGAGCAUGAAGCCUGGAACUUCCCCACCCAAGCAAAUCCUGGAGUAUGCGUAAAACAUUAUGUGAAAAAGAAUAAAAAUGUUUUUCUCUUGGUCUGGAGCAAGACAGUGGUAAAGACAUAAGCAGCAGAGAACAGAAGUGCCUUAGCUAAUUCUUGAUGUAAAAGACAGACAAGAGAUCAGCACAACACUUUACCAAGGCUAACAUCCUUGAUUAGGAACACUGUCCUUUCCUCUGGUCAGACUGUAAUGGAGACAAAGUGACCCAUACUGAGCCAAAGUCAAAGGCAGCGUUUUGCUGAAUAAGCUUCUACAUUUCUGUGCUAUCCCCACAGUUACAGCUGGUUGCCACAUGAAGCUGAUGUGCAUUGGAUGGAUGACUUGGUAUCAAGUCUGAUUCUGAGCAGUAAUGAGUUUUACUUGAAGAGCAGUGGUUUGAAAAUUCAGAUUAUGUGUUCAAACAGCUGUUUUUGAUGUAGGAUUUUCUAGGCCACAUAAAAGCCGAUUCAAACUAUAUCCAGGAACAAUACUGUACUCUACAGGAUCAAAGUACCAUGUAUAACCAAAUACUAAAUAAAUUAUUGUCAGACUGCUGGGAGAGAAAGCAGGGUCACUAGUUUCCUAUAAGAAAUCUUUACUUUGGAUUUCUAUAGUCUCCAGUAGCUUGAAAUGAGGGAUGCAACUGGCUAAAUUGAAGCUAGUUUUUUAUGCCUAUGUUAGAUGCCCAGCGAGUCUUACAUACACACGUACAGAGAACCUUGCAUUGCCUUUUGAAAUGAGGGAAACAAAUUGGAUUUCUUUUGAAAACUGAAAGCUUUUUUGCAAAAUACCCUUUUUUUCCUACAGGUGUGAUACAAAACUGUUGCUUUGCAGAUAAGUCUUUCUAACAACAAUAUUGAAUAGUAUGUCACAUACUAUGCAGUAAUAUAUCAAAGUAAAAUUCCCAAAUUCAGUAUAAUUCAGCCAACAGAGACAGAUACACUUUGAGAUGAGAUUUCAGCAUUGAUGAGAAACUUCAUUGCUCCUUUCAAGGAGUCCUGUAGUGAACUUUGCUUUAAAAAUAAGAAUAAUAGAAUGAAUAAAUGGAGGAAUGAAUGGUAGUAUUCUGUUUGCAUUAUUCUAAUUGGAAAAUAUUUUACAAUUGAAAGCUCUGAAGUAUUUCCUUAAAAAAUUGUAUUUUAUCCACAUGCAGAAGUGUUUGUUUAUUGACUUUCUUUUUCUUUAUCAAAGCCUUUAUGCAAAAUCUCAUCACAAUCUGGAUGCUUCCUAAUAGAAUUUGAGAAUCUGAGGAGGGAAAGCAAAUUAACAAUGCUUGGAUUAAAAAGAAAAGAAAGAAUGUCAACAGAUUCACUUCUUAG
ensembl:lncRNA